rnacentral:misc_RNA from 1 species
CUUUGUGCUGAAAGGGGAGAACGGGGUUACAGAAUCUCAAAAUGGCGGAGGGUUUUACCGAAGUUUAUCAAGAUGAGGUGAUAUGACUACAGGAGCAUGGUGGAGGCUAGUGAGGAGCCGACCUGUGGUCACUGUGCGGAGAGGCUGAUGACCACUGCUUGACCAAGGGAUUUACUGGACCCUACAGACGAUGUAGUGGGAUUUGUUGAUGUGUUUGUUUAUAGGUGAAGUUCGUUAUUGUGUUUUAGACGCGAGUGGAAGCUAUGUUGUGUUUGUGAAGCGGUGAAUCUUUCCUUUUUGUACAUAGUGUGUAUAAAGGUUUUUUUUGUGGUAUUUAUCAUUACUGUGUACAGAUGUUAAUUAUUGAAAUUCAAGGAGUUUUACCAAUGCUGUGUUAAAAGAUUUCAUCACAUUUUGUCCAUAAAUAUGGAAGACCCGACAAUGGAAGAGCAGACUGAAGCAAACAUUGAACCAGAAACAGAACAAAACAAUGUCGAUUUAAACCCUGAUUUAGAUCCAGAAUCUGAUCAGGAACCGGAAACAAAGGAUGAGGAGGAUAAACUUGAACCAGAUCAGGAGGAGGAUACAGAGGAGGAACAACCAAGAUGUUCUGUUUCACCAAAGAUAGCCAGGCCCAAACUUCCGGAAUUCACUGGGAAUGGACGUAUUUCUAGUCAUACUCGUUCUAAAACUGACCCGGGAAGGGGAGGGGAGAUCAAGGCCAUCAUUGAUAAAACAAUGGAAGAUAUCAAAGAAUUAAACAAAGUGGACUUCACAAUUUAUAACCGUCCAAAAGUCUUCCCCAAACCUCUACACCAAAGAUCUCAGUCCACGCACGCCUCUCCCCGUGCUUCCCCAACCCCAGGCUCUCCUUCCGUGGAGGAGAAAGUCUCCGCACUCAACAGGAACCGAAGUCGUAGUCUGAAAGUGCUCACAGACAUGUUGAAGAGCGGGCGAGGUGGUAAUGAUUUCAGGUCGGGCAACAUUCCAGACGUGGGAAAUGAUGUCAAGUCCAACAGUGACAGUCAGCUGCUUCCUCGCCGAAAGAGGGAGGGCAAGGAGUCCAGUGUUGAGCGCCGGUCAAGCUCUGACGGUCAGCUGCAGGCUAGGCGUCAGGAUUCUUCAGGGGCCUUAACUCACGAGUCCCGAGGGUCUGGUGCUCGCACUCCAGACAUUUAUUCCCAUCAGAAAGAAUUUGGGCAGUCUGAUAGGCAUUAUAGUGAUCACAAUGAACAGAAGCGUAAAGGGGGCACACUUCCUCGGUAUAGGCAGGAGUCUGGCAAAUUCAGGCGAGCUAAAAGUGAAGUGCGCAAAGCUGCACCUGUAUCUGAUGAUGAGGGGCUGGACGUUACGUCAGAUCAUGAGUCUGGAGGUCACGGUUUGGUGAAACCUUUUCAUUCAAUCGACACAAACUCUAAAUUUUUCACACUAUACAAGACUAACCCUUCAAAGAGAAGACCUCAUUUUAGUGGUUUUGUAAAGACACGCUAUCAAUCUAAUUCUCAGGGCGAGGAGCAGGGGACUAGGCCAGAUGAUCAGAUUGGUUCAGCCAGUAGAAGGUUCACACGACUUGAGCUUACACCACUCACCAGCAAGGCGGCCAAAAGCCGACUUUCAUCCCUCAGACAUGUGACUCAUCCUCCGCAGUCACAAACAACAUUCCGAGAGGGCGGAACAAUGGACUCCAAUGGGUUUGGAACACUUUUGAAGUCUCCGAGCACAGAGAGUCCUCCGCCUUUCCCUGGAGAGGCGGAGAAAACAAGUGACCUGUCACUAACUGACAGUCAGACUGGCCAGAGUGACAGCAUGGACGAGGCGUCGUACAGCGAACAGGAUGAUCAGAGCGAGGCUCAGACAGAGUCAUGUGAUAAUGCCAGUGACGUAGACACCAUCAAACCAGCAGAGAAAAAAAGCAACGGGAAAACUUUAAAACAGAAAUCCAAGAGUGAUCCAAGUUCUGACAAAAGUCAGUCGAUUGAUCAGUCAGAACUGCCUCAAUUGAUUACUGUGUCUCAAAGCACUCCUCACUUGUCCACGGAUGGUAGCCAGGAUAUUGAGGAGGAGGUAACUCCAGACACAACCAUUGACACAGACAGUCAGGAAGAGGAUAGACGACGCCGGACCCUGAGCGCUCACCAAUCAUUUGAUGAUGAAGUGCCGCUUCAGUUCGAUGCCACCAGUAGUACUGGUGGAAGUGGUAGUCCCAUGUCCUACUCAAUAGAGGAGGAGGGAUUGUUGUCCCCCGAUAGUGAUGGCCCACCCCCUAGUUUUGUGUCGGUGAUGUACGGGGUGACUUCUGCUCCGUCCACACCUGUCAAUCAGUCCCCGACAAACACGCUGGAACGUACCAACUAUCUCAAUGUCCCAACCAGUGUCACAAUCUCUAGCACUUCCAACAAUAAGAAAUCUAUAGGGCGGAGUGCAAGCUCAGCCAGUGUACUCCAUCGGGAACGGAAGUUCUCCGGAGGUAGCAAGGACAAGGAAAAUAUACGUAAACACAGUGUCACUAUCGGUGAUGACUCCGCAGCCACACCGAAACCAGAGUUGUUCCCCUUGGGGGACAGUAGUGGCAUGCAGGCUCUGAGUAUGCCCAGUAUGACCUCCACAUGGAAGAAGGAGCGAGGACCCUCUAUGUCUCCAGAAAGGGACCAGUCUCUAGUCAAGGACAAACGAUACCACAUUGUUGAAGAGUUUUACCACAAUGAAAAAGAAUAUGUAGAGGCGUUGCAGAAACUCAAAGAUAAAUACAUGACCCCGCUAAAAGUGUCGAGCAAUAUAGACGAGUCGAUAGUGGACAACAUCUUCUACAUGAUACCGGAGAUCCUUACCCACCAUACUAUCUACCUGGACUUCCUAGAGAAUGUGUGGGCCAAGUGGGACACCAAGACCAGCACCAUUGGAAACAUUAUCAUCGGCAUUUUUUCAAAGCAGACGGUGGUUGAUAGCUAUCUGUCGUUUGUGGAGAACUACAGAACAUCUGGGAAAGUCAUAGAGAAUGCCCUGCAGACCAAGUCCUCGGUGCAGAAGUUUCUAGAGCAAUGCCAAAGAGACAGUGGAAGUAAAUUGUCCAUGAAGGAUCUUAUCGUCCGUCCCAUCCAGCGAAUUCCUCGUUAUGAACUCCUCAUACAGCGUCUGAUAGAGAACACACCCCAUGACCACCCUGAUUUCCCCCUACUGAAGGAGGCAGAGCGGGUGAUGCACAACUUUGCAAUCAAGCUGGGCACCAAUGAAAGCCAGCUUGAGGAGGACCAACAGAGUACACUUAAGAAGCUUGAGGUUCUUGUCCCAGACAUGUCCCCUUUGGUUGCCCCAGACAGACAGUACCUCAAACAUGACAUGGUUCAGAUUCUGACAAGAAAGGACCAAUGCUGUAUAUGGAUAUUUUCCGACCUGGUCAUAUUCAGCAGUGUGAAGCGUCGUGGUGGACCAGUGACACGUAAAGUCUCUGUUAUUCUGAAAUCUCCGACUGGAAAUGAAUAUGCAGAAAAUAUUAAACAUAAGGUGUGGUUGCGGGUUGGACUGGAUAACAUAGAAAUAGUCAAGAGUCAGCUUCCACCCAUUAAGAAGAGUUCGCUGGACCCGGAUCAAUUGGAGGAGGACAUCAACAUUCUGACGGAGAUGACUGAAAUGACCAAUAAACUCAAUUAUCCACAUUCUAGUCUGGAUGAUGUCGUGAAGGAGAUGCUGGCAUCUUUAAAUAAACAACUUUCUGAAGUUAGCAUACGAAGUCCAUCCUUAGAGUCAAAUAAAAUGGAAAUUCUAGUCACAACACAGGAAGGGGUCUAUCCCCUGGAGAUCUGCUUCAGUUCCGCUGAGAAGCGAGCCAUCUGGGAGUCAACGUUACUGGAUGCCAAACAGAAAUUAUCGCUGCUAUCGGACAAGAGAGCACCAGAGUUUCAGCAGCCUUUACAGAUUACGAAGACGAGAGCUGGCAUGCAGUUUUCCUGUGCGGCCCCCAUUGAUGGCCUCAACAACAGUGGUUACCGUGACGUGUGGGUGUGUAACAGCGACGGAUACGUGGGUCACAUGUGUCUACUGAGCCUCCAACCUGAACCAAUCGUCACCCUGAACACACCUGUGCCUGGCUGCAAUGCCCGUAUCCUGUGUAUAUGUGCAGUUCCUGCUUACAGUGGUCCAUUUAGAAGGAAGAGUAGCUCUAAGAAAAACCUCCACAAACACUCGGUACCAUCAGUGGCAGAGGACAGUCCUGAGAUCAAUAUCGAGGAGGUGGACGAUGUGUCGGAGCCCGAGGAGGACGCAACCUCUGCUGGAUACCAAACAGAUUCAGAGUCGAGUGAGGAAGAAGAGGAGGAGGAGUUGGAAGAGGAAGUAGAAGGAGAGAAAGAGAUGGAGGGAGAGGAGGCACAACAGGAGAAAGACGAAGGCAGCAGUGAGACUGUGUUUGAUAACAAACCCAAGGAUCUGUACUUAGGAGAUUCCUCGGAGGGUAAGGCAAGUCCUGUGUCCCAGCUGAUCAAUCUUGACCCCUUCACCAUGACCGGUAACUGGCUUCAGGACGCUCACAAGAGUACAAUGUGGCUGGGCACGGAGGAUGGCUGUAUACAUAUAUUCCAAUGCACAGACAAUAUUAAAACCACAAAGAAUAAACUCAAGAUUCACCACGGGUCCCCAGUCUAUUGUAUAGUAUAUUUAGACAACAAGGUGUUUGUUUCCUUGGCCAAUGGGGACCUGAUCGUGUACAAGAGAGACUCGGAUGGGAUCUGGGACACAGAAAACCCAUACACACGUACCGUUGGCAGUGUCAUCUCUCCUAUCAGUCGCAUGUUAGCUGUGGCAGGCAAGCUCUGGUGCGGCUGUCAAAACGUCAUGAACGUCAUUAACCCUCUCACUCUCCGGAUAGAGACGACGUUCCAGGUGACGACAGAUUCUAGUCGGUGUAUCCAAUGCCUGGUGUGUGCGGGGCAGGGCGUGUGGCUCGCCUCACAGCACAGUUCAAAGAUCUCCCUCUAUCAUGCCACAUCAUUCGAGCCACUGCUUGAGGUCAACAUAGCUCACUCUGUGGCUCAGAAACUUCAAUCGGCUGAUGACAUCAUUCGACAACACAAGGCGGCUUGCCUGCGGAUCACAGCUCUGCUGGUGUGUAAGGACUUGUUGUGGGUGGGCACCAGUGCAGGGGUCAUCCUCACCAUACCCAUGCCACGCAUCACUUCCACCUCCACGCGGGGCUCCAUAUCAACCCCUUCAGUUACAGGUAAGUAGUCCCACAUCACGUCCAUACAGGUGCCUCCAUAUCAACCCCUUCAGUUACAGGUAAGUAGUCCCACAUCACGUCCAUACAGGUGCCUCCAUCUCAACACCAUCAGAAACAGGCAAGGAUUCUUGCUUCUCCUACCCUUCACAGGUGUGUCUUCCAUUUUUGCCGGGAAAGAUCAGCUUGUCACCCCUUAGGGGAAGAUAGCCUCGUGCCAAGUAGCACAUGUUCAAUUGUGACGUCAUUAAAAUGUGUCACCGGUAA